rnacentral:rRNA from 1 species
CGCGUAGGCGGUCAUGCAAGUCAGGUGUGAAAUCCCCAGGCUUAACCUGGGAACUGCGCUUGAAACUGCAUAGCUUGAGGCCGGGAGAGGAAAGUGGAAUUCCUGGUGUAGCGGUGAAAUGCGUAGAUAUCAGGAGGAACACCGGUGGCGAAGGCGGCUUUCUGGACCGGUUCUGACGCUGAAGCGCGAAAGCGUGGGAGCAAACG